AGAGUUUGAUCCUGGCUCAGGAUGAACGCUGGCGGCGUGCUUAACACAUGCAAGUCGAGCGAAGCGAUUCAAGGAAGUUUCGGAUGGAAUUGAAAUUGACUUAGCGGCGGACGGGUGAGCAACGCGUGGGUAACCUGCCUCAUACAGGGGGAUAACAGUUGGAAACGACUGCUAAUACCGCAUAAGCACACAGUGCCGCAUGGUACGGUGUGAAAAACUCCGGUGGUAUGAGAUGGACCCGCGUCUGAUUAGGUAGUUGGUGAGGUAACGGCCCACCAAGCCGACGAUCAGUAGCCGACCUGAGAGGGUGACCGGCCACAUUGGGACUGAGACACGGCCCAAACUCCUACGGGAGGCAGCAGUGGGGAAUAUUGGACAAUGGGGGAAACCCUGAUCCAAGCGACGCCGCGUGAGUGAAGAAGUAUUUCGGUAUGUAAAGCUCUAUCAGCAGGGAAGAAAAUGACGGUACCUGACUAAGAAGCCCCGGCUAACUACGUGCCAGCAGCGGC
rnacentral:rRNA from 1 species